GGUUGUGAUCAUACCAGCACUAAUGCACCGGAUCCCAUCAGAACUCCGCAGUUAAGCGUGCUUGGCGAGAGUAGUACUAGGAUGGGUGACCCCCUGGGAAGUCCUCGUGUUGCAACCC
rnacentral:rRNA from 1 species